rnacentral:rRNA from 1 species
CCCAUAAUAAUAUUUUGAGGCAUCUUAGAAUAUUUAAAGCUUCGGCGGUACAAGAUGGGCAUGCGCAACAUUAGCUAGUUGGUAGGGUAACGGCCUACCAAGGCUACGAUGUUUAGGGGACCUGAGAGGGUGAUCCCCCACACUGGUACUGAGACACGGACCAGACUCCUACGGGAGGCAGCAGUGAGGAAUAUUGGUCAAUGGGCGCAAGCCUGAACCAGCCAUCCCGCGUGAAGGAAGAAGGCGCUAUGCGUCGUAAACUUCUUUUCCAGAGGAAGAAAACCCCCGACGCGUCGGGGCUUGCCGGUACUCUGGGAAUAAGUAUCGGCUAACUCCGUGCCAGCAGCCGCGGUAAUACGGAGGAUGCGAGCGUUAUCCGGAUUUAUUGGGUUUAAAGGGUGCGUAGGCGGAUUAAUAAGUCAGCGGUGAAAACCUUCAGCUUAACUGGACAUUGAUACUGUUAGUCUUGAGUACCG